ensembl:lncRNA
UGUAAAUGUCUUAUAAAUCGCAUUCAUUUUCUCCUACACAGUUUAUAACAUAUAUAACAUUUUAUAUUUAUAUGUUAAGACAUUAUAAUUCUACAGUGUCACUUUGUCUGUUCCGCUUUUAUUUUGAAAAGCGCCGUUUUUCUUCGGAUGGUUUUUUUUGUGACGCUAGACUUCCGCUACUCUCUCUUCACAAUGUGGUGUUCACGUAUCGUCGGAAGAACGAGCUCUGAACUGUGAGGGUGUGUCGAGCUAGAGAGCAUGGUAGCUGAUGGCAGAAACUCUUUGAUUAGCGCCCUUGGAGAAGCGGAAUGAGUUUUCACGGUGUUCAUGGUGCAUGGUGCUCGUUGAGAGGAAGAAAUAAAUUGACACCCGUUUGAAACUCUCUGCGUCUUGAUCAAUAUAUCCGAGGGGC